rfam:Picea glauca, whole genome shotgun sequence.
AUGUACAUUCCUGCAACAUAGCGUUAAUGCAUUGGAUCCCAUUAGAACUUUGUAGUUAAGCGUGCUCAGUGUAGAGUAGUAUUGGGAUGGGUGACCACCCGGGAAGUCCUAGUGUUUUACAUG